rnacentral:lncRNA from 1 species
AUGCUGCAGCUGGGCUGAGGUGAGGCAGGGACACUGAAGCCGGUCUGGAAAAUUCAGGGAGAACAAGGCCUGUGCGCCCAUGUACCACCACGCUCCAACCUUUUAUACCUGGAAGAUGAUGCUUAUCAGUCACCAUCCAGAGGGAGCCUCAGACUGUUCUCAGUCCUCUGCUAAAGAGUAACUUCUGUCUGCAGAGUGGAACUGACAAAUGAGACAAAAUCCCUUUACUGUGGCAAAUGAACAGCAUGAGAGGGACACAAGCAUAGCACGGCACAAAACUAGGUCAUCUGAAUUCUAAGAUACGGCAUGCUGUCCGGGGCUCCAUCCUCUCCUUACACCUGCUCUUUGGGAUGGGUGCCAUCUAAGCGCAUCAUUCAGGAGCACAGCUAAGACUUCCGAAGCCCUUCAGGUCCAGUUCCAAGAAAGCCCAAGAGAAGGACAUUCCUUCUGCUAUGCACGGACGGCUCGGCUUCCAACGCCAGACUGACUGUCCUCUCCUCUGAGUCAUCGAGCCCCACCGCACCCCCACCCCAGGGAGCUCUUACCUCCCCUCAGCUCCAUGACCUAAGCCAAGAUGUUGCUAGAAGGCAAUUCAAUGUUCCAAUUUGAAAUAAGUCACACUUCAGGACAGAGAGAGAAAUAACAGAGCAGAGCAGCUCAAGCUCAAGAUGAUUCUUCAUUUUGAACUGCUUUCUGCAGCUGAGAAAUGAGAUCAAUGUUCUCUGCUGAUUUUCUUGAUUACCUGACAGCAAACUGUCGACAUUCCUGGUUCCAGCUCUGUGAAGUCUGGGAAGGUGGCCCUCUCUCUCAUGUUUGUAUUUUGGACCCAGCACGUGUCACAGGGCACCUCAGUAAAUGCUCCUUGCACGGAGUCAGAGAGAGAAGGACAGUCCCCCCAAAAUGAGGUCACGGAGAAAAAAAAAUACAAGAAAAUAACUUCCAAUGGCCAAGAAAUUCUUUGAGAAGAAGAACCAAGGGUUUUAUGCCAUUAAAAUCCCUCCAUACACCCAGAUUUGUCCUUCUAAAGACCUUAAAUGUUCUUGGUCUUGACCCAAAUUAUACUCCUCAUUAGAUGGGGGGCGGGGGUCAGAGAAGAUGUCUUGAGAAUGCCACUGAGGUUAGGGGUGUGCCUCUAACGGUGUUGAGCACACGUCUCAUUUUCUUACCACUGAGAUUUCUGAAAAGCUAACAUCCCAAAGGGAGUUUAUUUGAGUUAAUGACAAUUACUUUGUCCAAAUAAACAAGAGCAUCCUUAAUUUUGCCCA